CAUCUCCAGUGAUUUUGGAGCCCCAAAAAAGAAAGCCUGACACUGUUUCCACUGUUUCCCCAUCUAUUUCCCAUGAAGUGAUGGGACCAGAUGCCAUGAUCUUCGUUUUCUGAAUGUUGAGCUUUAAGCCAACUUUUUCACUCUCCACUUUCAAAACCAUAGCUUUAACUAUACGGGCCUUUGUUGGCAAAGUAAUGUCUCUGCUUUUUAAUAUGCUAUUUAGAUUGCUCAUAGCUUUUCUUCCAAAAACUUAGGUUGCUUAAUUUAAAAUGUGAAUUCUUAGGUUUCACUAACAAAGAUGCUGAAAGAGUGGGUUGUGGUGCUGCCUCUGUAAUAUUAUAUUUUUUAAAGGUUUUUCUUUUAAUGGGGACCUUUUAAAAAAUCUUUUUUGAAUUUGUUCCAAUACUGAUUCCAUUUUAUGUAUUGGUUUUUUUUUUGGCCUCAAGGCUUGUUGGAUCUGAGCUCCCCUCCUAGAAACUGACCCUACAACCUCUGUACUUGGAAAUGAAGUCUUAAACACUGGACUACUGGAGAAGUCCCUAUAAUAUCUCUUUUAAAAAAGCACAAGGUGAAUAUCUGGUAGAUUUUCUUUAUCCUAUAUUUUGUGAAACAGUUGGAGAAUGGAAUUUUUUGGUGCGCAGGUCUUUGAGAAAUCAGUUCUAUUUGUUUUUCACAGAAUCAUUCAAUUGGCCUAUUAUUCUGAAUUGUUUCCAUCAUUGUUAGUCCAACCUUCCACAAUUCCAAUAUCCCAAGGAGUUCAAGAUGCUCUCAACUUAAGAAAUAAGCCAAGAACAGCUGAAGUUCAGACUUAUGUGACCUUGAACCUGGAUAGAGGUUGAGUAAAUC
rnacentral:lncRNA from 1 species